rnacentral:rRNA from 1 species
UACGUAGGGUGCGAGCGUUGUCCGGAAUUAUUGGGCGUAAAGAGCUUGUAGGCGGUUUGUCGCGUCUGCUGUGAAAAUCCGGGGCUCAACCCCGGACUUGCAGUGGGUACGGGCAGACUAGAGUGUGGUAGGGGAGACUGGAAUUCCUGGUGUAGCGGUGAAAUGCGCAGAUAUCAGGAGGAACACCGAUGGCGAAGGCAGGUCUCUGGGCCACUACUGAUGCUGAGAAGCGAAAGCAUGGGGAGCGAACGG